CCGGAAACGGGCGCUAAUACCGCAUACGUCCUGAGGGAGAAAGUGGGGGAUCUUCGGACCUCACGCUAUCAGAUGAGCCUAGGUCGGAUUAGCUAGUUGGUGGGGUAAAGGCCUACCAAGGCGACGAUCCGUAACUGGUCUGAGAGGAUGAUCAGUCACACUGGAACUGAGACACGGUCCAGACUCCUACGGGAGGCAGCAGUGGGGAAUAUUGGACAAUGGGCGAAAGCCUGAUCCAGCCAUGCCGCGUGUGUGAAGAAGGUCUUCGGAUUGUAAAGCACUUUAAGUUGGGAGGAAGGGCAGUAAGUUAAUACCUUGCUGUUUUGACGUUACCAACAGAAUAAGCACCGGCUAACUUCGUGCCAGCAGCCGCGGUAAUACGAAGGGUGCAAGCGUUAAUCGGAAUUACUGGGCGUAAAGCGCGCGUAGGUGGUUCAGCAAGUUGGAUGUGAAAUCCCCGGGCUCAACCUGGGAACUGCAUCCAAAACUACUGAGCUAGAGUACGGUAGAGGGUGGUGGAAUUUCCUGUGUAGCGGUGAAAUGCGUAGAUAUAGGAAGGAACACCAGUGGCGAAGGCGACCACCUGGACUGAUACUGACACGGAGGUGCGAAAGCGUGGGGAGCAAACAGGAUUAGAUACCCUGGUAGUCCACGCCGUAAACGA
rnacentral:rRNA from 1 species